GUAACAUCACGAGUUCCCCCAAACACUUCAGUACUAGGUAUUGUUCUUCAAAGAGAACACUUGCAAUGAAGUGAUUGAAGGGAACUCAAGGUGAAAC
rnacentral:pre_miRNA from 1 species